CACCUGCUUGUCCUUUGCGCUUCCGUCAUCACCGGCGCGUCACUUCUGGGUUAGAGGUUGUUGGGCUCGACAGCACGGCGUUACACUACGGUCGAGGCCUUGCUGCUUUGUCUUCACGUGCUGUGCGUGACAGCUGCUUACCCGCACGCCGUGGGCCCGAUUUUUAACUGGGGUUUAGUCCUUUUUACAGUGGCUGAACGAGUAUGUGACAGUUUGCUGGAGGCCAGUGGUGGCAUCCCCCUGUCUGCUGUGUCACUGGGAGUGGGUUCCUUCACUGAGAGCAUGCCCAGCCACGUGACUGAAGUUGCAUUAGCUCUCAUCUGUCCUCUAGGCCUCAGCCCAGAUUAGGUUAUUUCCUCUUCCCCCUUCCUGUGUGAAUGAUUGAGUAGUGUUUGUGCUUUGUUUCCUUUUUUUU